GACGAACGCUGGCGGCGUGCCUAAUACAUGCAAGUUGAGCGCUGAAGGUUGGUACUUGUACCAACUGGAUGAGCAGCGCACGGGUGAGUAACGCGUGGGGAAUCUGCCUUUGAGCGGGGGACAACAUUUGGAAACGAAUGCUAAUACCGCAUAAAAACUUUAAACACAAGUUUUAAGUUUGAAAGAUGCAAUUGCAUCACUCAAAGAUGAUCCCGCGUUGUAUUAGCUAGUUGGUGAGGUAAAGGCUCACCAAGGCGAUGAUACAUAGCCGACCUGAGAGGGUGAUCGGCCACAUUGGGACUGUGACACGGCCCAAACUCCUACGGGAGGCAGCAGUAGGGAAUCUUCGGCAAGGGGCGAAAGACUGAGCGAGCAACGCCGCGUGAGGGAAGAAGGUUUUCGGAUCGGAAAACUCUGUUGGUAGAGAAGAACGUUGGUGAGAGUGGAAAGCUCAUCAAGUGACGGUAACUACCCAGAAAGGGACGGCUAACUACGUG
rnacentral:rRNA from 1 species